GCCGGGGUAGCCUAACCUGGUAAGGCAACAGCUUGAGACGCUGUGUCCCUUUGGGACUUCAGGGACUUAAGAACCUUGCGGUUCUUGAGUUCAUCGGAAAUCCGCAGAAUUAUUAAUGAUUCAUGCGGAUUUAGCCGUUGGGAUGAAACUCCCUGCCCCGGCG
rnacentral:tRNA from 1 species